UGCACACCUGAUUCUCCUCUCUCAGGAGUGAGAUAUGUAGGCGCCCUUCUUAGGUUCAGUGAUCUUUUAAAAAAAAGGAAAAAGAGGUUUUGAGAAAGUGUUGAAUUCUAACACAUUUGUUGUUUUUUGUUGAGUCGGUUUAAGGUGGUUGGUUUGUGGCAUUCUGGCUGGUCCUUCACAGUACACCAAAUUCAAAGGGU
rnacentral:lncRNA from 1 species